AUUGAACGCUGGCGGCAGGCCUAACACAUGCAAGUCGAACGAGUGGCGGACGGGUGAGUAAUGUCUGGGAAACUGCCUGAUGGAGGGGGAUAACUUCUGGAAACGGUAGCUAAUACCGCAUACCAUCAGCUUUGCCCAGAUGGGAUUAGCUUGUUGGGGGGGUAAAGGCUAACCCAGGCGACGAUCCCUAGCCGGUCUGAGAGGAUGACGAGCCACACGGGAACUGAGACACGGUCCAGACGCCUACGGGAGGCAGCAGUGGGGAAUAUUGCAAAAUGGGCGAAAGCCUGAUGCAGCCAUGCCGCGUGUAUGAAGAAGGCCUUCGGGUUGUAAAGUACUUUCAGCGGGGAGGCGUUACCCGCAGAAGAAGCACCGGCUAACUCCGUGCCAGCAGCCGCGGUAAUAC
rnacentral:rRNA from 1 species